rnacentral:lncRNA from 1 species
AGCAGGCAGGAUGGGGGUGGGGUGGGUACCCAGAGCUGUGAGAAAGUGCAGCAUCACCAUGAGUGAGAGAAGUUCACAGGGAGCACACAUGCCCUUGAGUGCUGAGCUAAGGACCUGGAAAAGAACCACUGUGAAUUCUGCAGCUAUGGAAACCCUGGGGCUGCCUGUGGUCAGAGAGGGGCUUCAAGAUCAGUGAUUUUCCAGCAGCUGGGAGAAUGGACUGGAACAGAUACCCCCUGAACCGUUCUGACAGCCCAGAUUAGAAGGGGGAAGGUGGAGGAAAGUCAUACCAUGAAGCUGGCCAGGGUGAUUCUCUGACUCCUGGAAUGGCAGACCUGAUCGUCUGCCCUUCCCACGUCUUCGCCGAUCAGUCCCCACUUUCCAGCCUGCACAAGUGCCUUGGAGCCCUACCCUUUGGAUGCAGCCAAAGCCAUUCCUAGCAGCCCUUGAGGGUUCUAACAACACAACUGUGGAGUCAGAGUCCUGUCUCCUGGGAUCCCAAGGCUUCAUCCAGGGACAGCUACAUGUAAAUCAGGAAGAGAAAUCUGCUGUGGAAAAGGUCUCCAUUGACCAACUGCUCCUCUGGUCUCUGCCUGUCCAGCAGACAAGUGCACUGCAGUAAUGAAAUCCACGACUUCCCACCUCUGCCAGUGAAGAGUCAGCAUGUACCGUGUGAAAGCCAGGAAGGCUCAUCUGUCUCGUGAGUGAUUUCCUUUCCUAAGGAAGGCCCUCCAAGGAGCCAUGCAUCUCUGGAACGGAUCACCCAUGCUGACAGAACUGAAGAUUGAACCUCUAACUAACAUGACUUGUGCAGGUGACAGGGAAAUUGUUUGUAAUAUAACUUCAUUUCUUUAAAAGCAGCUACGGAUUUAUACUUGGGUGAAAUUAUAUCCCACAUACUAAUUUAAUAAACUCCUCUAAGCUUACACAGAGUCUCUUCUUGGAAAAGGAUGUGUUUCUGAUCCACUGGCCAGUGCACUGAAUGAUUUCCCACUACAACCCAAGGGAGAGGGAGUAGUGAAGACUGAAAACUAGGCAAAGCCAAUUCGUAUUCUGAUGAAACUUUACAAAUGCUGCUUAUGACAAAACCCAGUUGUAAAAACUAAAGGGUAAGGUGAACACCCAAACCCUGCCAUUAAAAUAACAAAGAAAGGGGCUCCCUGCUACCUUUGGUUAAUCUUUUCCAGUGGAACCUUCUUGUCUUGUGUCUCAUUACCUCAAGUCCCAAGAUUUCCAACCCUGGGUAAAGACUGUCUCCUCAGGGCCAGGCACAGUGGCCCAUGCCUGAAAUCCCAGCAAUUUGGGAGGCCGAGG